GGAUGCUCGUUGUGAAGACCUCACUUCAAGGCUGACAUAACGACAGUCUUAUUCAGAUUGCAUGCCUCCAACGUGGCUGCAUUGAACCACACUAUGUAGUUGUGCAGAGAUUCUCUCUCUUUCUGAUGGAGGGAGAAGGGACUAUUUGAGGUCCUCAGUUUGACUUGUUCAUUGCCAAAGUGAGUAACAAACUAACAUCGGAGUUGCUUAAAGGAAGAGAUGGACU
rnacentral:lncRNA from 1 species